rnacentral:rRNA from 1 species
CCUACGGGCGGCAGCAGUGGGGGAUAUUGCACAAUGGAGGAAACUCUGAUGCAGCGACGCCGCGUGAGGGAAGACGGUCUUCGGAUUGUAAACCUCUGUCUUUGGGGAAGAAAAUGACGGUAACCAAAGAGGAAGCUCCGGCUAACUACGUGCCAGCAGCCGCGGUAAUACGUAGGGAGCGAGCGUUGUCCGGAAUUACUGGGUGUAAAGGGUGCGUAGGCGGCUUGGCAAGUCAGUAGUGAAAUCCAUGGGCUUAACCCAUGAACUGCUAUUGAAACUGUCGAGCUUGAGUGAAGUAGAGGUAGGCGGAAUUCCCGGGGUAGCGGUGAAAUGCGUAGAGAUCGGGAGGAACACCAGUGGCGAAGGCGGCCUACUGGGCUUUAACUGACGCUGAGGCACGAAAGCGUGGGUAGCAAACAGGAUUAGAUACCCUUGUAGUC